GCCCGCCUACGGGGCGCAGCAGUGGGGAAUAUUGCACAAUGGGGGAAACCCUGAUGCAGCGACGCCGCGUGAGUGAAGAAGUAUCUCGGUACGUAAAGCUCUAUCAGCAGGGAAGAAAAAAAGUCUUUGGCUUUGGACGGUACCUGACUAAGAAGCCCCGGCUAACUACGUGCCAGCAGCCGCGGUAAUACGCAGGGGGCAAGCGUUAUCCGGAUUUACUGGGUGUAAAGGGAGCGUAGACGGCAGCGCAAGUCUGGUGUGAAAUGCCGGGGCUCAACCCCGCUACUGCUCUGGAAACUGUGCAG
rnacentral:rRNA from 1 species